GCCAGCAGCCAUAUCACAUUGCAGCUCUUAACUUAAGUUGAGCCUGGUCAGUACCUGGAUGGGAGACCUCCUGGGAAGCUAUGGUUGCUGCUGGAA
rnacentral:rRNA from 1 species